CUAGUUUCAGAUUUUAAAGACCUGAUGAGGACCUCUACAUGUGGUAGGAAUCAAGGAGAAGCCAAGGUUCACAUGAAAAGGAAGGAGAAGCUCGUGGAGCAUAAGGUGCAGUGCAAGGUAGCCAACAAGAGAAGUUCUAGUCGCAUUAGAAUCCUUGUUUGCACCCUUUUUGGAUCCUUUUCUUGCUUAUUCUAGAUUUUUCAGAUCUUGGUGAGGGCUUCUACAUGUGGUAGGAGUCAAUAAAAGGAGUCCCUCAAUAUUUGGUUGCAUGAGA
rnacentral:lncRNA from 1 species